GAUGAACGCUGGCGGCGUGCCUAAUACAUGCAAGUCGAGCGAACAGACGAGGAGCUUGCUCCUCUGACGUUAGCGGCGGACGGGUGAGUAACACGUGGAUAACCUACCUAUAAGACUGGGAUAACUUCGGGAAGCCGGAGCUAAUACCGGAUAAUAUAUUGAACCGCAUGGUUCAAUAGUGAAAGACGGUUUUGCUGUCACUUAUAGAUGGAUCCGCGCCGCAUUAGCUAGUUGGUAAGGUAACGGCUUACCAAGGCGACGAUGCGUAGCCGACCUGAGAGGGUGAUCGGCCACACUGGAACUGAGACACGGUCCAGACUCCUACGGGAGGCAGCAGUAGGGAAUCUUCCGCAAUGGGCGAAAGCCUGACGGAGCAACGCCGCGUGAGUGAUAAAGGUCUUCGGAUCGUAAAACUCUGUUAUUAGGGAAGAACAAAUGUGUAAGUAACUAUGCACGUCUUGACGGUACCUAAUCAGAAAGCCACGGCUAACUACGUG
rnacentral:rRNA from 1 species